GAUGAACGCUAGCGGCAGGCCUAACACAUGCAAGUCGAGGGGUAGAACACUUCGGUGUUUGAGACCGGCGCACGGGUGCGUAACGCGUAUGCAAUCUACCUUGUACAGGGGAAUAGCCCAGAGAAAUUUGGAUUAAUGCCCCAUAGUAUAUAACCUUCGCAUGUUGGUUAUAUUAAAGUUCCAACGGUACAAGAUGAGCAUGCGUCCCAUUAGUUAGUUGGUAAGGUAACGGCUUACCAAGACAAUGAUGGGUAGGGGUCCUGAGAGGGAGAUCCCCCACACUGGUACUGAGACACGGACCAGACUCCUACGGGAGGCAGCAGUGAGGAAUAUUGGUCAAUGGUCGCAAGACUGAACCAGCCAUGCCGCGUGCAGGAAGACGGUCCUAUGGAUUGUAAACUGCUUUUAUACAGGAAGAAACCCUCCCACGUGUGGGAGCUUGACGGUACUGUAGGAAUAAGGAUCGGCUAACUCCGUG
rnacentral:rRNA from 1 species